rnacentral:rRNA from 1 species
AUGGGCACGGCGGGCAGCGACAACGCGAUACCUGACGAGGAUGCACGCUCGGCCAUGAGGACGAGACCAGGACGGCGCGAUUGGAGGGACGACAACGCCGCAGAGUGCUGCGGCCAGCUGCUACCCUAUAGUCGCCGCCGGCCAUGGGAUCGACACGCCCUGCGCCUCCACUAUGAGGUUGUUUUAACCUGGAGCUGCCGUGCCUGCGCGCACGUCAUGCAGUUUGAGCGGGCAAAGCUCCGGCAGUCCGCCUUCUUCUCGUCAGCCCGUGAGAUAGAGGAUCAGCCCACCGAAAUCAUUGAUUUGGUAUUUUCUUUAUGUGCUCAUGGGAGACUAAUCAACCAAAUUAUUGCGAUGGUAUUGUCUUUUGCC